CGUAUCCCGCGCUCGUUCCAGAUGAUCAACAGGUGUUCCGUUCGGUGGAGGCGUCUCGUUAUCACGCUAUGUGUGCUACGACAUCGCCGGCUCACAUGGACCGCUUGAUAAUGAUAAGCGAGUGUAUUGCACCAACCCGUACAAUCACUAAAAUCCGACGUAUACUUACGGCCAGGUUGCUGAUAUGAUGCGCAAAUACAUAACUAGACAACGGAGCUUGUCUUGGACAAAAAUCAUAAUCGCUUCAGCAAUAGGAGUGUUUGGUGGAGUGUACGUUUGGAAGCCGUUUUUCGAAUCUUUGGACAACGAACGACACAAGAAAAUUAAGAAAGAAUGAAUAAAAAUGUAAAACCCGUUCAACCUGGUGGUGUACUCACCGGUAAUUUCAACAAAAUUUUAGCAUUUGUUGGUUUGAGCUGGUUUGCAUCUAUGUUGGUUGUUAGAUAUGUUAUAAAACCAUACAAAAUAGAAUCAACUAUGAGAGAAAAUGAAAUGCUUAUGAAUCAGCUUUAUGAUGAACAAAAAUCACAAAAAAAUAAAAUAAGCGAAUUUGAUGAAUAAAAAAUAUUGAUGUUUUAUCAAUGUUUUGACUUUUUUGA